rnacentral:tRNA from 1 species
UGAUUAGAAGCUAUAAGAGCACCUAGCUGUUAAUUAGGAAAUUGCCAUUACCCAAUAUGGCCUAAUCAG